UGAGAACGAAGUCAUUCUUAGUGUUCAG
rnacentral:piRNA from 1 species